UGCCGCGCGAAAACGAUAUUCGACAAUAAUUACGCCAAGUAAAGCGUCUCGUCACGGUGAGUAUUUCAAUCGUUACGCGUCCGUUGCUCGAGUUAUUCGCGCGACGGCUCGCGUUCAACUGUUUCACUUGCCCCGCGCCCCGCGAAGCUAGUCGCGCUCACUUGUUCUACUGUACGCGCGCACAUCCGCAUUGUGCCACGCGACAAAUACUCGCGUCCGCGGGCGUCCCGAGGGAGAAAGCGAAGCGCGUAUGGAUACAAGGUAAUUAUUAAAUAUACGCGACGCUUCGUGAUUCCCGUCCGCGCCUCUUGUCGUCUCGGCGCGGAGGGAAACGGUCGAGCGGGCGACACCGCGGCGAAUGUUCGUCGCCUCACGGUUGUCGCGAGGGAAAGCGAGCGGGGAAGCUAACGGUAGUAGUUUAAUCGCGCGUGGAAAACCGCCGCCCCGCGUGACCUGCCGCGAUCGCGUCUUGCGAAGCAAUAACUGCCGGCGGCGCGGCGCGGCGCGUGACUCUGCCCGCCCUUGAGAGCAACGGUCGCGCGAGAAAAACAAGGUGACGUACGCGUGACGUAUAUACGCAUACCGUUUCGCUCCAGCGAAAGACGUGCGCCGCGCGCCAGCGAGCGUACCGGCGCGCUACAAAAUGGACGCUCGCCGAAUAUUCUGCCUUCGAUCGAGCCCGAUCUUCAAACAGCCAUAAGACGUCAACUGCCCAUCACACCUCACGCCAUGGAUCCCCAUAAACCUUGGCAAACGCGUCAAGAUCCCACAAAGGCCGCCCGACAGCAUCCCGAGGCCGCCGCUCACCGCAGGGGUUGCGUGUCUUUUUUCGAGUGCGCCCAUGCAGGGGGAUGCAGUUGAGAAGCUCGUAUAGGAUUUCUUGCUUCCUCGAAAUUCACCGUGGAUAUGCCUGAUGAGGCCCGAAACGCUGCAUCACGUGGCUCGAAACAUGUGUGGCACAUACUAAUUGAAGGGCCGGUCAGAAGCAACACGGUAGCGAGCCAGGCGAUUAACACUUCCCGAAGACCACACGCAUUUCGGGUUCUACGUAUUAGAGAGCCGUUUUUGUUUCAGAAAAAGAGAGAGAGAGAGAGUUGGAUUCGAGUGUACGAAAUGAAUGAAGCACGAUAGGUCAUUAUCAGAUUAUCGUUUAUUAACGAGAUCACGUGCGUGGAGAUGGCGAUACGAAUUAUAUAACGAUUGCAUGCAAAGUAACAUAUUUAAAGCUUUAUUUUCUCAGGCCGCAGAUCGUAGACGUGCGAUUUUAUCAGAAAUUGUGAAAAGAAUAUUCCGUCCGAAAAUUUCUUGGGUUUUAUUAAAGUGAGCUGAUAAGUUCUCUCGUUUAUUGCCCGCGCAAACUUAUAAACUACGGUUUUAGUAUUGUUAUUUGUACAAACUGUACACACCUCGCGAGCGCGCAAAAGGAUCGUGGAUGGCAACGACAGGGAAGAUGUGAAAAAGCGACGACUUUCGGAAGUUCAUGAAAGUUCGUUUACACAACUCUUUCCCUCGCUGCGAUGCAUUAUGCUCUCGAGACGUAGUGACCUGAAAUCUUCGACCUCUGCCGCUCUUCUCGAGGGAACAGCAACGCGUCUCGUUAUUCAGGUGUGCUUUCUAUGGGUUUGCGUUAUACAACGUGUUUCUAAAAUCGUGUAUAGAGAAUGGUGAGAUUUUCUGUAUUCGCAAACGUAAGAUUCUAGAAAAUGUUUCUACUCCUUAGCGAAAAUACCGCUUUAGAAGCAUCGAAAGACUUGCAUCUACCUAGAAUGUCGUGGCAAGUGCUCGUCCGUGUGGACAAACGGACAGGUUUGAUAAUUAUCAUCAUUACCUGUGGUGAUAUCGAGAUUAUAGAAACUAGAUUCCAAACGAAGGAGGAAACUACAUUUCAAUGUCGAAAGUUUUCGAGAUAUGUGUACAGACUUUUCUAAAAAUUACAGUAAACUAAUAUUAAUCGUAUAUAGAUAGAAAGGCAGCUUAAUUACUAGACGUAAGCAAACUAUU